AACGCACAUUGCGCCCGCCGGCACUCCGGCGGGCAUGCCUGUCCGAGCGUCAUUUUCACCACUCAGGCCCUCUCUGCGGCCUGGACUUGGGGACCUGCGCGGGCCGAGAGGCCCGCACGCAGCCCCCGAAAACGAGUGGCGGCCCCGCGCGGCAGCCCCCCUAGCGCAGUAGUGUUCCUCCUCGCUUCGGGAGCCCCGCGGGCGCCGGCCGUGAAAAACCCCCUCGAGCCCGCCCCCCGGGACGGCACGCUCUUGACCUCGGAUCAGGUAGGACGACCCGCUGAACUUAA
rnacentral:misc_RNA from 1 species